rnacentral:rRNA from 1 species
AUUGAACGCUGGCGGCAGGCCUAACACAUGCAAGUCGAACGAGUGGCGGACGGGUGAGUAAUGUCUGGGAAACUGACUGAUGGAGGGAGAUAACUACUGGAAACGGUAGCUAAUACCGCAUACAAUCAGAUGUGCCCAGAUGGGAUUAGCUAGUUGGUGGGGUAACGGCUCACCAAGGAGACGAGCCCUAGCUGGUCUGAGAGGAUGACCAGCCACACUGGAACGGGGAGACGGUCCAGACUCCUACGGGAGCGAGCAGUGGGGAAUCUUGCACAAUGGGCGAAAGCCUGAUGCAGCCAUGCCGCGUGUUUGAAGAAGGCCUUCGGGUUGUAAAGUACUUUCAGCGGGGAUGCGUUACCCGCAGAAGAAGCACCGGCUAACUCCGUGCCAGCAGCCGCGGUAAUUC